AAUUCAUGGUGAGGGCAAUCACGUUCAUACUCCUUAAAACGUUCCCAAGCUUCAUAGAAAGAUUCAGUUGGUCCUUGUUGAAAGGUUGAGAUCUUCGUUCUCAAAUU
rnacentral:snoRNA from 1 species